CAUGAAAAAGGAUCUUCUUUGGUUGAUUCUCUUUUGGUCCCCUUCAAAAACUGUCUGCUUGUUGUAACUGAGUACUGACUCCCAUCCGUGUGUGCUCUCUAAACAGCAGAAUGGUUGGUCAAUGUGGGAGAACAAGCCACUGUGGGAGGACAUUGGUGUGUGAUGCUGGAAAGCACAGAAGAGCCAUGUAGGUGUGUAUUUUCAUCUUUGAUCAUGGCAGUGCAACAAUGAGCUCCAGACUGAAGAGACGGGAAAACAGAAGCAGCAUAGUAAAUUGAACAAGUACAUUUUAUUUGAUUGGCAAGAACAGAAAAUCCCUUAACCAGCUCAAGCUUUUGGUGGAGUUUUCCUGAAAAUGUUUUUUGAUGGACUAUUCUUCUUCAUAAACUUAGUUCCCGGGAGAGUGGAAAAAAAUAAUUCAUAAGUGUUGUAAAUGCUCUGGGAGACGUUUUAGUGUUCUUCCUUCCUCACAUACAAAAAGCUAUAUCACAUUUGUGUUUAUGUACUGCAUGCAGUGUUGACAGUUACAAAGAAUCAAUAAUUGCAACCCUGGUAUGCAAAAUCAUAAGAUUUAUUCAAAAAAUAAGAGUAUAUUUCAGCUCGCUACUUUAAAAAUAACUAUAUGAAGUUGAUCUAUCUUCAAGCUUCCCAUCAAUUUUCAGCCCCAGAGCACCUGGUCCCCUAGAGGGUCACCCUGGUCCCAGGUCCCCCAGAUGGUUCAGUAUCCCAUUCCCAGAACUCUACUACCAUUUCUAGCAUCAUCAGUUCUUCCAACAUUCAUUUAUCUCUUAAUUACAAACAUAUUUUUCAUCUCCAAAUAUAUAUAGCUUUAGUUCUCCAACUUUCCUAAUAGCAUUUUUCUCCAUCCUAGAAAUUCUAAGGUGAUAAGAAUCUAAAUCUCUGUCAGCUAUCAAUUCAAAAGAAGGAUGCCCAUCUUAGCAUUCUUCCAUUAGUUUUCAUUUAACAGGAGGAGGCCUGGUGAAGGAACAUCCAGGACCAAUUUUAGAGAUGAUGAAUUUGCUCUAUGGGAACCCAGGGUUUUCCUGUCAUAUCCUUCCUCCAGUAAUAAUCCUUAGAGGAAUAAGGGAGACGCUGACUUUUCCCAACCAGGUCCCCUUUCAUGGGGCAGGAAGACUGGCCAACAAUAUAAGAUAUUUUUCCAGGAAAAGUAAAAUUCAAGAGGAAGCUGGAGCUGCUUUUGCCAUCCUGGUGAAGUCUAUCUGAAAGUGAAGGCUAUCAGCUGUAUCUGAAAGUGUCCUCCUUAUUUCUCCUAAAAUUAUCAUAGAAUCAUAGAAUGGUUUGAGUUGGAAGGGACCUUUAAGAUGAUCUGGUUCCAAUCCCCUGCUAUAGGCAGGGACACCUCCCACUAGGCCAGGAUGCUCAAAGUCCCAUCCAGUCUGGCCUUGAAUGCUUCCAGGGAGGGGACAUUCACACCCUUCCCAGGAAACCUGUUCCAGUGUCUCACCACCUUCAUAGUAAAGAAUUUCUUUCCAGUAGCUAGUCUAAACUUACCCUCUUCCAGUUUAAAACCAUUUUCCCUCAUCCUGUCACUAUGUGCCCUUCUAAAAAGUCCCUCCCCAGCUUUCCCAUAGGCCUCCUUCAGGUACUGGAAGGUCACUGUAAGGUCCCCUUGAAGCCUUCUCUUCUUCAGGCUGAAGAGCCCCAGCUCUCUCAGCCUGUUUGAAAUGAUUGCUUCCCACUGUAUCACAAAUUAUGAGCUCAUUGUGUGCAGAGCACACUGAUGAAAUGGUUUGCCAACCAUGCACAUUGCCAACCAUCUACAUUUGUGACAGAGUGCUUUGGCUAGAAAAUAGAUCUUUUUUUCUCUUCUUACCAUACAAUUCAUCCCACUUGCCAGAGGUCAGCAUUGUUUCAUGGCAGGACUCUGCCUCCCCUGAUGGCCAUGCUACUGUUUUUAGGUAGAGUUCACUGUGUAAUAACCUGAUGACACAGAAUGUGCUCAUUCAUAAGAGUUGCAGUGCUGGGAUCAGAGUUCCAUCUUGUGCUCUGUCCUUGCUUGCAGGACACCAAUACCAGCUGUUUCCUGCUGUAGAGCUACAGCACCACUGAAAUUUGCAGAAUGUUUUUAGCAGGGAUGGGAAGUGUCCAGAGGAAGCAGAUGGGAUGAAAGGAAGAGUUCACUCUGGCUGCUGGCAUUGUAAAAAGCACUGGGAGUAAUUUAGAAAAGAAACACAGAAAUGGUUAAAAACUUCAAAUAAGAUGCUGCUGGUGCUUGCUGUGCUCCUGUCACCUCCAUAAACUAUAUUUUUUUUUAUUCAGAUACUUGAAACAGUUUCUUUUUAUCUUCCUGGUAAGGUGAACUAAUGGUAAUGAUUUCUAGAACUUUAAGACACUCUUGAGACAUUUCCAAGAGACAGCGGGAUUUUCAACACAUGCACGUGCAUAUAUGUAUGCAUUCUGAUACAGUUACUAAUUCUCUUUCUGACUUUUUAUCUGAAUAUUUAUACAUGUAUAAAUUGAAGUCAUGCAAAUAUAUUUACAUUUCAGAGCUGGUUAAAUUUUUCUGAAAGAUGGUAUUUAUUUACAGAUUUAGCUCUGAUGUUGGAGUACAAUCCUGUGGCCUUUUGUCUUAUAAAUGACCCUAGUAACUCUGCCAUGAGUUAUAAAGACAAGGUAGCAUCCCUAUCCUUGUACUUAGGCAUUUCACCUGAGCUGCUAGAGAAGUAGCAGCUAUCAUCAUCCACUUAUAUUAAAGAAAUAUAAGUUAUAAAAUAGAUGUGAUUUACCAAAGAUACUCACUAUCUCAGUGGCAGAUUACAAUCUUAUAUUUUCAAAUAUACGCUCUGUAUUUUUUUAGAUUGCUUGGAAAACCAAUGCCAUGCGAUUCUGAGCUAAAAUGUUAAUGCUAUUCUAUAAUAACAAUAAUAAUCAGA
rnacentral:lncRNA from 1 species